GGUGGAGCGAUUUGUCUGGUUAAUUCCGAUAACGAACGAGACUCUAGCCUGCUAAAUAGUUCGCCGAUUGUCUAAUCUGUCGGCGUUAACUUCUUAGAGGGACAAGUGGCGUUUAGUCACACGAGAUUGAGCAAUAACAGGUCUGUGAUGCCCUUAGAUGUCCGGGGCUGCACGCGCGCUACACUGGCAAAAUCAACGUGCUUGUCCUUCCCCGAAAGGGGCGGGUAAACCAUUGAAAAUUUGCCGUGAUUGGGAUCGGAAAUUGCAAUUAUUUUCCGUGAACGAGGAAUUCCAAGUAAGUGCGAGUCAUCAGCUCGCGUUGAAUACGUCCCUGCCCUUUGUAC
rnacentral:rRNA from 1 species